rnacentral:rRNA from 1 species
GACGAACCGUCCUAACGUUGUUCGGAAUCACUGGGCUUAAAGGGCGCGUAGGCGGCUUGCCAAGUCAGGGGUGAAAUCCUGCAGCUUAACUGUAGAAGGGCCUUUGAUACUGGCAAGCUCGAGGGAGGUAGGGGUAUGUGGAACUUCCGGUGGAGCGGUGAAAUGCGUUGAUAUCGGAAGGAACGCCGGUGGCGAAAGCGACGUACUGGACCUCUUCUGACGCUGAGGCGCGAAAGCUAGGGGAGCAAACGGG